GUUGAUCCAUAUGCCAAGAAUGAGGCUUUCAAUUGCAGCAAUGGGGAUGUGGUUAAGUGGAAGCAUUUGUUCAGGGUUUUGGCAGAGCAGUUCGAGCUUGAUAUUGAGGACGUUGGCGAGGAGGGCGGAUCGGAGGCGAGCUUGGAGGAGAUGAUGAAAGAUAAGGGGCCGGUGUGGGAUGAGAUUGUGAAAGAGAAGGGUCUGGUUCCUACCAAGCUGGAAGAAGUUGGUAACUGGUGGUUUGUGGAUCUUAUGUUUGGAGUUGAGACAAGUCUGGACAGCAUGAACAAGAGCAA
rnacentral:lncRNA from 1 species